GGCCUUGUUGAUUAUUAUUAUUAUUAUAUUACAGGGAUCCUCUAUUCUUCUCCUAUCUUAGAAGUAGCCCAGAAAUGAUCCUGAUAAGCUAUGGCUAAAGAGCUAUGACGUCUCAGUUUAGCAUGUGCAAAUGCAAAGCCAAGACAAAAACAACAUAGAAGAAGCAGUAUGGCGCUGAUUUUGACAUUCAUUGCCAACAAUGAUGAUUUCUUUGCUGCCUUCCACACCAAUAAGAGAAUCCAAUCCCCAGCAUCAUCAUCCUGACGAUAUAUAACACAAGUACCACUUGCUAGUACCACAACCAUAUCCUUACUUUUAGCAUUUUCAACAUCCUGUCAUCUUACCACCUAGCUACCACUCUAGGCCUG
rnacentral:lncRNA from 1 species